CUACACUUAGUAAAGAAGCUAAUAGCAUUUUCCUUCGGCAUGUGAUUGUGCGAGAGACGCAUUUGAUUCUGCAAAUGGAUACAUAAACAGAAAGUUAGACUUAGCAAAGAUGAAUUAUUGACGUAGGUUUGGAAGUUUCAGGGAUGAUAAUGACUUUGAAAUUGACAGUGAGCCUCGAAAUUAUCGCACGACUAUGCAUGGCAACGAUGAGCAUGACAAGAUCAAGAAGGAUAGACUAGAUUUUUUCUUUUCAAUGUAAUCCCAGUCUUUUAGUCUGGUUAAGGAUUUUCUUUAAUUUUCCAGCUGAAGUGAGGUUGCACUUCUCUCCUAAGUCUCUUACUUUUUGCAUUACAAAUAAUAAGUACUCUUACUUAGUGUCAGGGACGGAUUUAGGAUUGAAUUCAAGACCGGACUAUAAAAUUUCAAAUCGGGUUGUUACAUGGAAAAAAAAAAUUUGCACAUAAAAAAUUGAUUUUUUACCCAAAAAAAAUAGAAAAAAAAAACUUUAAAAAAAAAUUUGUUCCCCAAAUCCGUCCCUGCUUAGUGCCUGUUUCAUUACUUUUAAUUGGAGAGAAAAUGAGUUUUAAAUAGUAUUUUGAGAAGAAUACAUGGAUAAAAAGUAGAAAAAAUAUUGAAAGUAUAUGUAGAAUAUUUUAUUGUGUGAAUGUGUAGUUAAAAAUGAGCUUAUAGCAAAUCAUAAAAUAAGUUAAUGAGAAUCACACAGGCCCUUAGUGGUUUGAUUUUUAUUUUUUAUUUUCUGGGGAAAAAAAAUAAAAACCCUAUAACGCCUACUGAUUUCUUCUUUUUGCAGAUUCAUUUGAUUUCUCUAUAGCUAAUUUCAGUUUCUAUUCAAGCAUGAGAUUAAAACAAUUACACUAACUAUUAGUUUAAUGUUAUCAAAACUGUCAUUUGUAUUCAUCUCCUAUUUACUACAAACUUUAAGUGAUUUAAAUGCAGUAAAGUUAUAAAGAGUGUGUGCAAAUUGGACAUUAAAGCCAUUCUCAUUCCAUAUAAAUAUUUAACCCGUCUAUCUCUAAUUUCUCAAAUUUGGUUUCAAGAUCGGUACAAACACUCAGAAAAGAAAUAUUCAGCCAUUAUCUUCCAGUUCAAGAAAAUGCCUAACACCAGAACCAUACAUGCGAUUGUCCUUAUAUUUGCAUGCAUUUCAGCCAUGGCUGCACCAAAUUAUGCACAACAAUUUGGUGGAGGUUUCCCCACUGGCUUUCCCGGUUUUAACGGCUUUGGUCUGCAACAAGUUUUCCGAUGUAUCCCCAAUGUUUCAACCGUACCAAACUGUGUCAAUCAAUUUCUGGUAUCCGGCUACAGCCUUCAACCUGAAUUGCUUGGUCCUGAAUGUUGCAAGGUAUUCUUGCAAGUUGAUGAAAACUGUUUGUCACAGAUGAUGGUACCUGUGAAUCCAAUGUUCCCAUCGAUUUUCAAGAACUAUUGCACGUCGAUACAGAUUUGAACAAUAUUACAGGGUGCUUAGAAAUAUUGCAUGAAAUAUUAGCAAUAAAGUGAAGGAAUGCUGAUCCUUAUUCUCUUCUUCAUUUUUUAUUUUUUUUUUUCCCUGAACUUCUCGAUUCCCUCUCUUCUACUUUGGAACCCCCUCUGGAAAAAUAGAGAUCGUUAGAUGAUUUAGAUAAGGAUAAUUCUUCUGCAAAUUAGAAGUAACGCUAGUUUUAAUUUAUUUAUUUUUAAUUUUUAAUUUUUAAUUUUUUUUAUGUUCUUAACUACUUGAAAUGAAUAAAUCUCUGUCUUCGAGGAAAAUUAGAGUUGUGAAAUGAGAUUGGUCGGAAUAUUGAAGCACAAGCUAACACACCGUCAAUUUGUUGAAUUUUUCUUAAAAUUUUGCGGAAAUUGAGAUCUUUGAAUCCGAAAAAAUUCAUAGGUGAUACCAUCAAAGGAUGUACGAAGAUAUAUUUCUGGACUUUUUAGGAAUAAGAAAGAUAAUAAAAUAAAUGAAAAGAUGUCAAGUAAUGGCAUGCCAUUCCAACAUUUUAAGUAAUGACAUCUAUCAUUAGUAGAAUACAUCAUGAAUCAUGCGACAAUGGAUCAUCUGAUACAUUGUCCAAUAGAGUUGUGAUGUAUUUUAAUGCAUCGAACAAUAAAGCACGAGAAUCAUUACCACCUACCUCUAUUAAUAAUACAUAGAAUUGUACCAACAUUUUAUGUAACGCUAUCCACGUGGCAUGACAUGGCAUGCUAUUCACUAAACAUGGAACGCAAGAUGUAUGAGCCCAGAUAGAGUAAUGUUAUGUAGCACAAAUGGUAUUCUAACACUAAUCUAUAUGACACUGCUUGGUAGGUCUAAUUAAACGUAGUCCCAUAACACCAUAUUUAGCCCCCGUUAAAUUAAAUUUCAUUUUUCUCAUUCCUAUUUUCAAUUAUACAAUUUUCAAUAAAAUAAUAUUACACGUAAAUCGAAAACUUUACCUUCUUGUUCAACCAUUCACUCUUCAAAAAAAUAUUAUUCCAACCAUUUUAAUUUAAAAAAGGGAAGCCAAACGGGGGCUUAAUGAAACUAUAAUGUCAUAUAACGGGUGUUAUUAAACCAGUUGGGUAAUAUAGCAUUAUUCACCCGGAUAUGUUAUAAAACACGGCGACCAAUGAGUUGGCUACAACAUCUUUACAAGUUGAGAAAAUAUUACAUUGUAAGCAAAUAUGAAUUUAAAAAUAAUAGAAAAAAAAUAAGAGCCAAAGAGCUCUACAUUCCUAAAUUGUGAUGAAUAUAUAGCAUGAGCAAUUGUAGAACAUAAAAAUCUUAUUGACGAAUAUUUGGACAUGAACAAUGGAUCUUUUUUAGUAAUGCAGUAUGAAACAUGCUAACACCGAGCCCUUAAUCAUCCAAUGAAAUGACUCAAGACACUAGGUUUUUAGGACAAAAAAACUUACAAAAGAAAGUGACAAAAGAUGGGGGAAACAACAUUUUGUGCAGCCUUCGUCGAAAUGCGAUAUCUCAGCAUUCUAUCAUUAAGUCCCUCAUUAGCUCAGAUUUUAAUCAAAUUUUAAUUUGAAUCAAAGUGAAACAAUUAAGAUUAAUUAACAUCUUUCAUGAGCCCCACAACUUUUCAACCACACAUUUCAAAAACUUCUAUCAAAAUUUACUAAAAAUCUAAUUUUAAUCUCCACCAAACACCAUAUAAAUCAAGCUGAAAAUGAAGAAAUAUGGAUAUUAGUUUCUAUAUUUUUAAAGUCAAGAUUUAAGGUCCAUUUGAUUGCAAGAAUGAAAUUUGGGUGGAAAGAAAAUGAAUUUCAGAUAAUUGAAUUGCCUAAAACUUGUUUUAUUGAAAAUUAUCAAUUAAAUAUGUUUGAUUAGUAUAAUUUUUUAUCGGAAAAAUAUUGAAGUUUUUGAUCUUUUGUUAUUUGUUUGGUUUUUUUUCAUGAACAUUAUCAAUUAAAAUGAUAGAAUUUGUUUCAAUUGCCAAAAAAAAGACGAAAAACCCAAUUCUCCCUAUUAAGAUCAGUUGAAGCACUUGGCGGCAAACAUUAGUUUAGUUAGUUAAAAUCAGUUGCAGUUAGUUAGAGUUGUUAAUUACAGCUAGUUUAGUUACAGGUGGUUUUUCCACUUUCCCGCCUCACUUUUGGAUUGCUAUUUAUAGCACAUGUAUACCUCAUUUCGAACUUGAAUAAGAAAAUUCAUUUUUCAAAAUCCUCAACAUGGUAUCAGAGCAAACAUGCUCUCAGCUCCGCCAUUAGAUUUCGACAGAUUGACUGAUUCAUUAUGGCAGGCAUCUCAGAUCAGAAUCAAUCAAACCAAAAUUUGUCCUCAUCAGUGAGUCAUUCCACCAUUGAUGAUGGCUCCAGUCCGUAUUAUCUUCAUCACUCGGACAGUCCUUGUCUCAUUCUCGUUUCACAGCCCCUAACAGGUGAGAACUAUACUUCCUGGAGUAGUGCUAUGACAAUAGCAUUAUCCGUGAAGAACAAAUUGGGAUUUAUUGAUGAAUCCAUCAGUCGACCCGAAGGUAAUGUGGAUCUCCUUAAUUCAUGGAUUCGUAAUAACAAUAUUGUUAUUUCAUGGAUCCUUAAUUAUGUAUCAAAGGACAUUUCAGCUAGCAUAAUAUACUAUGAAUCUGCUCAUGAAAUCUGGACUGAUCUUAAGGAACGCUUUCAACAAAGAAAUGGUCCAAGAAUUUUUCAAUUAAAGCGUGAAUUAAUGAAUCACACACUAUGACAGAUGUCUAUUAGUGUCUAUUCACUAAACUAAAAGCUAUUUGGGAGGAACUUAGCAACUAUAGACCUUCAUGCUCGUGUGGAAAGUGUGAAAGUGGAGGAAAUAAGAAAUUAGUUGAAUUUUACCACAUGGAAUAUGUCAUGUCCUUCCUAAUGGGAUUAAAUGAGUCUUAUGCUCAGGUUCGAGGACAACUACUACUUAUGGAUCCUAUUCCCCCUCUCAAUAAGGUGUUUUCACUGAUCAGCCAAGAGGAACAUCAAAGAGCUAUAAACAGUCAUGCUUCCUUGGCUUUCUAUGCCAAAAAUGAUACAAAAAUGAUGAAUGCUGGACCAUCCCAUAGCAAAAAUCAGAAGAGGGAAGGACCUAUCUGUUCUUAUUGUAGAUUUGGAGGCCAUGUCGUUGAUAAAUGUUAUAAACUCCAUGGCUACCCACCAGGAUACAAGCCAAAGCAGAAAACAAGUUUAACUAGCUAAACAGGAACAAAUUCAAGGAAUCGGGCAAGUUACAAUUUUCAAUCAAACAAUGCAGUGGCUAACCAAAUUUCUGAUUCUAUUCCAGAGCAAACCACCACUGGCGAUGUUGGGAGCUUCAUGCAGACAUUGAAUCCUGAACAAUACCAACAUUUAAUGAGCAUGCUGAACACACACCUUGUGACUGCAAAAUUGGAGAAUGAAGGAGCUAAUUCUGACCAUGUCUCAAGUACUUGUUUCUCAAUUUUCAUUAAUCAAAUCUUCAAUUUUCCUGGAUAUUGGGUGCUAGAUUCAGGAGCAACUAGCCAUGUUUACUUCAAUCGUACAUCAUUUCAAACGCUAAAGGCAGUGGAGAAUUUCUAUAUUACACUUCCUAAUCGUUCCAGGAUUCCUGUACACUUUGCUGGAAUUGUUAAAGUUACUCCUGAAUUGGUUCUUGAAGAUGUGUUAUUUGUUCCCCAAUUCAAUUUCAAUCUGUUGUCUAUUAGCUCUCUGACCAGAAUCAAAUAUAAGCAUCAAAUUUCUCACUGAAUAUUGUGAUAUUCAGGAUCUAUGCAGCUUGAAGACGACUGACAGGGGUAAAAGAGUUGAUGGCCUUACAUCAUUGAUGCAACAAGUGUGAUGAAAAAUGAAUGUAAUUCGUUUGAAAAUGUGCAUAAUUCUGUAGUGAAUAAUGUGACCUCUCAUGUAUGGCUUCAUAGACUAGGUCAUUUGUCUUUUAAAAGAUUGGAGACUUUGAGAAAUCAGUUCCGUUUCAAGAAUGAUAGAACUGAUUCUGCACCUUGUUAUAUUUGUCCACUUGCUAAGCAAAGAAGGUUAUCGUUUGUCUCGAAUAACCAUCUAUCUCCCAAUGCAUUUGAUCAUAUUCAUUGCAAUAUUUGGGGUCCAUAUAGCUCUUCAACACGAGAUGGCCACAAAUUUUUUCUCACAUUAGUCGAUGAUUGCACAAGAUUUACAUGGGUUUAUCUUAAAACAAAAGGCUGAUGUGCACGCCAUCGUUCUCAGAUUUUUCAGCCUUAUUGAAACACAGUUUCACAAAAUCAUUAAAGUAUUCAGAUCUAGUAAUGCUCCUGAGUUGCAUUUUACAUAUUUCUUUAAGUCAAAGGGUGUGUUUCAUCAAUUUUCUUGUGUUGAACGACCUGAGCAAAACUCAGUUGUUGAAAGAAAACACCAACAUAUACUUAAUGUAGCAAGAGCUCUAUUCUUCUAGUCCCAAGUCCCUAUCUCAUUCUGGGGUGAUUGUGUCUUCGCGGCAACGUAGCUCAUCAAUAGAACUCUAAUAAGCCACAGAUUCACAUUCAGUAUAAUAGGCGCAAAAAGGAUUCAAGGGCAGAAAAGGGAAAGCCGAAAGAAGGAAGUUUCAUGCACAUGGGCGCAACAGAUUCGGUUGAGCAAGCUGUUACAAGUCCAGUGGUAUAUAAGCAAGAAGAGAAGAGGGGAGGCGUAGGAAUGAAGUAGGAGAUUCCAAUAGGAGAGCUUGGCCCUCUCGAAUGUCCAGUUAUAUUGUUCUUUUUUUUUCUUCUGAGUAUUUCUAUAAAUUGUAUGAGUUGUUCCCAUUCAGUUUAAUACCAAUUACGAGUUUCAUUUUUCAUUGUUUUCUUGUUAUUUGAAGUUUAUUAGCACUGUAAUUCAGUUUACUAAGCAGGAAGCACAUCAAUUUGGUAUCAGAGCAGUUCCUGGUCAUGACGCUAACAGAUCGAGUAGGGAAAUUGGAGGGCCGGAUGAUUGAACAUCAUCGCAGUAUGGAGAAGAGAUUGGAGACAGUCCAGGCGAGCAUGGAUUUAAUGAAGGCGGAGAUUCACAGAGUGCACGGCAUCGAGAAGAACAUGAACCUACUGAUGAAGCAGUUCAAAUUCAUCAUGGGUCAUUGGGAGGAACGUGAGAAGGAGCGAAACAAGAAGGGGCUAGAUGAGGCCCCUUCGACAGGAUUCACCAUGGAUUCAGGGGUCACCGUACCCGGGGAAGAAGAAGAAGAACAAUAUAACUGGACAUUCAAGAGGUCCAAGCUCUCCUAUUGGAAUCUCUUACUUCUUUCCUACGCCUUCUCUCUUCUCUUCUUGCUUAUAUACUACUGGACCUGUAACAGCUUACUCAACCAAAUUUGUUGCACCCAUGUGCAUGAAACUUCCUUCUUUUGGCCUUUCCUUUUCUGCCCUUGAAUCCUUCUUGCGCCUAUUAUACUGAAUGUAAAUCUGUGGCUUAUCAUUACUCCUCCCCACGAGACUCACCUUUUCCUCAAUGAGAAAGUCUGGAAACUAAUUUUUAAGAGUUUCAAACGAUUCCCAAGUUGCUUCUAAGGGAGGUAGUCCUUUCCAUUGAAUCAAUACUUCAAGACUCCUGAUGUUCUUUCCCUUUCCUGGUCGAACUUCUAGCAUAGCCUCUGGUUCUACUAACAUCUCCAUUUCAUCAUUCAAGUGGCUUGGAAUGUCUAACACCACCUGAGACUGACCUUCUGCCUUUCGUAAUUGAGACACAUGAAAGACUGGGUGAAUGUGGCAGGUUUGGGGAAGUGUUAAUUUAUAAGCUACCUUCCCAAUUCUCUUCUCGAUCGAGUAUGGUCCAUAGAAUCUUGGGGCCAAUUUCUCAUUUGGCCUUGAUGACAAUGACUUGAGUCAAUUGGUAUCAAUAGCAACAAAGGAGGAUGAAGGUCCAAAGUUGGGAGCAGCUAAAAAAAUUGGUAUUGAGUCGAUUUCGAUCGGCACAUGGGGAGACCGGUGAGGAAAAAUUCCUAGUUCUCCGACAAGAUGGCUCGGUGAGGAAAUACCGCCAGUGGUUCGAACUCUUGGCCGCUCCACUGUCGAAAAUAUCAGAGGCCCUACUGGAAGGGCAUUUCAUCAAAUGGUUGAAGCCAGAAAUCAAAGCUGAAUUAAAGGUAUUAAAGCCCAAAGGUCUGGAAGAAAUUAUGGAGGCGGCCCAACGGAUUCAGGACAAAAUUAAUAUGGGCCAACGAUAUUGGGCCGGGCCGGGUCGGGUCCAGGAAGAAAUAAAGGGAUGAAUUAUUUGACCCAACCUACUAUUUCAAACCCACCCAGCAAAUCGGUCCUAAAUUCCUCUCUGCAGCCCCCGAGAUUUACCCAAAAUUUACCCCCAAUACAGCCGAUCCCAAGUCACCACCCACGUCCGACGUCAGCGACGACAGUACCAGCAGUGGCAACCGAAAAACCCUCCGGCCCAACUUUCAAAAGGUUGAGUGAGGCAGAGUUUCAGGCAAAGAAUGAGAAGGGGCUUUGCUUUAAAUGUGAUGAAAAAUACUCUAUCGGGCAUAAAUGCCAGAACAAAGAGCUCCAGGUCAUGGUAAUUCUGGAUGAGAAAAUUCUGGAAGAAAUAGAAGACGUGGGAAAAGAUUCGCAGAAAAUGGAGAUGAACUAAGUGAGAGAGGUGAUGGAACUUUCAAUCAAUUCUGUGGUCGGGUUGACAUCUCCACAAACUAUAAAAGUUGAAGGAUUAAUCGAAAAUCAGGAAGUGGUGGUGCUGAUUGAUUGUGGGGCCACUCAUAAUUUUAUCUCAGCCGAGCUGGUUCAGAAACUGGGGCUGCCUAGGAUGGAAACUUCAGGAUAUGGCGUGAUCAUGGGUACAGGCUUUGUAGUGCAAGGUGCAGGUAUAUGUAAAGGAGUAACUCUAUCUCUGCAAAACUUGGAAAUCACUGAAAAUUUCCUUCCUCAAGAACUGGGUAGUUCAAAUGCGAUUCUUGACAUGAAAUGGUUGUCGUCGUUGGGGAAGAUGUUUGUGGACUGGAAGUCUUUAACCAUGCGCUUCCAAGUGGGCGACACCAAUGUCGCGCUACAUGGGGAUCCCAGUCUUAGCAAAACAUUGGUGAGCUUAAAGUCAAUGAUGAAGGCUUUUCGAAGAGGUGGAGAAGGAAUUCUGUUAGAACUGGGAAGUCUGUCAAUAGAAAUAGACAGUUCCCAGCCAUAUGUACCGGGGGAACUGGAACAGGUAAUGAGGGAGUUUGGUGGAAUUUUUCAAGAACCAAGGGGGUUAACUCCCCACCGUGGAAAGGAUCAUUCCAUAGUGCUACAGGAAGGAACGGCUCCAAUGAGUAUACGGUCGUACCGAUAUCCCUACAGCUAGAAGAAUAAGAUUGAGAAGUUGGUUCGUGAGAUGUUGGCCGCCGGUAUAAUUAGACCAAGCACAAGUCCAUUUUCCAGUCCAGUCCUGUUAGUCAAGAAGAAGGAUGGGGGAUAGCGUCUCUGCGUGGAUUACAGGGCGCUGAAUAAGGCCACAGUACCGGAUAAAUUUCUGAUCCCAGUUGUAGAAGAACUACUGGGCAAAUUGCAUGGAGUCACGAUUUUUUCAAAGCUAGACUUGAAGGCUGGAUACCAUCAAAUUAGGGUAUCCCCUCUGGAUAUUCCAAAAAUGACCUUUCGAACUCAUGAGGGACAUUAUGAGUUUUUGGUGAUGCCAUUUGGGUUGACCAAUGCACCAGCGACGUUCCAAGAACUAAUGAAUAUAAUUUUUAAAGAAAGGUUAAGGCAGUCGGUCCUAGUCUUUUUUGACGACAUCCUGGUUUACAGUCGGAUAUGGAGCAGCAUCAAGAGGACUUGAGGUGGAUUUUUGAGGUUCUUAAGAAAAAUCGGUUGCAUCUAAAUGGGAAGAAAUGUGUAAUUGGCCAGCCAGAAGUGGAAUAUUUAGGUCAUGCUAUCUCUCAGCAAGGUGUGGCAGCGGAUAAAGAAAAGCUCAAGGCAAUGUUAUUGGCCGAGUCCGGGGACGUUGCAGGAACUUCGUGGGUUCCUAGGACUGACUGGGUAUUAUAGGACGUUUGUAAAGGACUAUGGCAAAAUUACAUGGCCAUUGACUGAGAGGUUAAAGAAGAAGAAUUUCUACUGGGAUGAAGCAGCAGAACAGGCCUUCCAGGAACUCAAGGGAAAAAUGAUGUCCUUGCCAGUUCUGAGGUUACCAGAUUUUACAAAGGCAUUUGUGGUUGAAUCGGACGCUUCGGGAUAUGGGUUAGGUAUGGUAUUGAUGCAGGAAAAUAGGCCCAUUGCUUUCUUUAGUCAGGCACUUAAUCAGAAGGGCGGAGAAAAGUCAGUUUAUGAGAGGGAGUUGAUGUCUAUAGUCUUCACAGUACAAAAGUGGCGCCAUUAUUUGUUGGGACACCGUUUCAUAGUUCGGACAGAUCAGAAAAGUUUGAAAUUCUUAUUGGAACAAAGGGUAAUCACUCCGGAAUAUCAGAAAUGGCUGGUGAAACUUAUGGGAUAUCAGUUUGACAUUCAGUACAAGCCAGGAUUGGAGAACAAGGCCGCUAAUGCCCUCUCUCGCAUUAAGCAUUUGCCAUCGUUGAUGGCCUUGUCACUACCAGCAGUUGUGCAAUUGGAACAGCUCAGCAGAGAAGUAGAAGCAGAUGAAAAGUUACGUAAGAUUGUGGUGGAGCUGAAGGCUGAUCCGUCCACAUGGCUAAACUACUCUGUGAAGGAAGGGCAGCUAUUAUAUAAAGGCAGAUUGGUUCUACCAGUUGGGUCGACCUUGAUUUCAUUGAUUAUGCAAGAGGGACAUGAUCAUAGUUUGGGGGAGACAUUCAAGAUUCUUGAAAACAUAUAAGCGGAUUUUCAUGAAUGUCUAGUGGGUGGGAAUGAAGAAGGAUAUUCGCCUAUAUGUCAAAAAUUGCGUAGUGUGCCAACAGAAUAAAUAUGAAUCCUUAUCCCCAAGAGGAUUGUUACAGCCCUUGGCCAUUCUUGAUCAGGUAUGGGAAGAUAUAGCUAUGGAUUUCGUGGAAGGAUUACCAAAGUCAGGAGGCUGGGAUACCAUAUUAGUAGUGGUGGAUAGACUUAGUAAGUAUGCCCAUUUUGUACCUUAAAGCACCCGUUUUCAGCAAUCACGGUAGCUGGAAUCUUUGUCAGAGAAAUUGUGCCCCUUCAUGGUAUUCCGCGGUCCAUUGUCUCAGACCGGGAUAAAAUUUUCAUGAGUGGAUUCUAGAAUGAGUUAUUUAAACUACAGGGUACAAAACUUUGCCGUAGCACUGCAUACCACCCGCAAUUCGAUGGGCAAUCUGAGGUAGUAAACCGCACACUAGAAACGUAUCUCCGUUGUUUCGCCUCUUCCAAACCAAAGUCUUGGGCUUGUUGGCUUCCAUGGGCAGAGUUAUGGUAUAAUACCUCCUACCAUACAGCUUCCAAACUAACACCCUUCCAAUGUUUGUAUGGAAGGGAUCCACCACUGUUAUUGAGGUUUGAAAAGGGAUCUACUCCUUUUUCAGUUGUAGAAAAGCAAUUAUCAGAGAGGGAUCGCAUGUUGGAGGAGUUAAAGCAUCAAUUGACGAAGGCACGGGCUCAAAUGAAACGGACAGCUGAUGCAAAAAGAAGGGAAGUUCAGUUCAAUGUGGGGGAUUGGGUAUAUCUGAAGAUACGUCCUUAUCGACGCAAGUCAUUGUCAUCAAGGCCAAAUGAGAAAUUGGCCCCAAGAUUCUAUGGACCAUACUCGGUCGAGAAGAGAAUUGGGAAGGUAGCUUACAAAUUAACACUUCUCCCAACCUGCCACAUUCACCCAAUCUUUCAUGUGUCUCAAUUACGAAAGGCAGAAGGUCAGUCUCAAGUGGUGUUAGACAUUCCAAGCCACUUGAAUGAUGAAAUGGAGAUGUUAGUAGAACCAGAGGCUGUGCUAGAAGUCCGACUAGGAAAGGGGAAGAACAUCAGGAGUCUUGAAGUAUUGAUUCAAUAGAAAGGACUACCUCCCUUAGAAGCAACUUCGGAACCGUUUGAAACUCUUAAAAAUCAGUUUUCAGACUUUCACCUUGAGGACAAGGUGAGUCUCGUGGGGAGGAGUAAUGAUAAGCCACAGAUUCACAUUUAGUAUAAUAGGCAUUCAAGGGCAGAAAAGGGAAAGCCGAAAGAAGGAAGUUUCAUGCACAUGGGCUCAAAAGAUUCGGUUGAGUAAGCUAUUACAGGUCCAGUAGUAUAUAAGCAAGAAGAGAAGAGAGGAGGCGCAGGAAAUAAGUAGGAGAUUCCAAUAGGAGAGCUUGGACCUCUCGAAUGUCCAGUUAUAUUGUUCUUUUUUUCUUCUGAGUAUUUCUAUAAAUUGUAUGAGUUGUUCCCAGUCAGUUUAAUACCAAUUACGGGUUUCAUUUUUCAUUUUUUCCUGUUAUUUGAAGUUCAUUAGCACUGUAAUUCAGUUUACUAAGCAGGAAACACAUCAAACUCCUUCACCAAUCCUACAAAACAAGACACCAUUCUCCUUACUCUACAACUCAUCAGUAGACUACAACUUUCUUGGAGUAUUUGGAAGUCUUUGUUUUGCAUCUACUCUCACAGCUCAUCGCCUAAAGUUUCAUCCUAGAGCAAGAACCUGUGUGUUUAUUGGCUAUCACCCUGGUGCCAAGGGAUAUCGUUUGCAUGAUAUCAUAUCCAAAAUUGUUUUCAUUUCAAGGGAUGUGAUAUUUCAUGAACUAAUAAUCCCCUUCCACUAUGUCUCCAAAAAUUCUGAGAUUAUUGACUCUUUUCCUGAUCUUGUUUUGCCUCAUCCUGCCACAUAUAUACAAACCUCUAUCAAAGAAAUGUCCUCUAGUUGCCCUCCAAGUACAAAUCUUUCUGAUAUCAUAACCCCAUCUAACAACCCUCCUCUCAGAAUGUCCCUUAGAGUUAUUAAACCUCCCUCAUAUCUUCAAGAUUUCCAUUGCAAUUUCAUAUCUAAAAGUCUUAACCAUGCUGCAUCAUCUUCCUGUCCAUAUCCCUUGAGUGAUUACCUUUCAUAUACAAAAUUCUCUCAGUCCCAUAGUAACUUUUUUCUCAAUGUAUCUUCAAACUUUGAACCACAAUUUUAUCAUCAAGCAGUAAGAUAUGACCAUUGGAAAGAGGCUAUGGCAAAUGAGUUAACAGCCAUGGAGUCCAACAAAACCUGGUCCAUUACCAACUUGCCUAAAGGAAAACAUUCCAUAGGUUGCAAAUGGGUGUACAAAGUCAAGUAUAAAUCUGAUGUUAUUGUUGAUAGAUACAAAGCUCGUUUGGUGGCCAAAGGCUACACUUAACAAGAGUGAUCGGAUUUUUUGGAAGCAUUUUCUCCAGUUGCAAAAUUGGUCACUGUGAAGCUUCUCUUAGCCAUUGUUGCCAUUAACAAGUGGCACAUUAUUCAAUUGGAUGUCAAUAACGCCUUCCUUCAUGGGGAUCUCUUUGAAGAAAUUUACUUGGAUUUACCUUUGGGUUAUAAUCAUCCCAUCCCUUCUGAAAAUCAGGCAAAUUGUUUGGUAUGUAAGUUGCAUAAAUCUAUCUAUGGCUUGAAACAAGCCUCAAGACAAUGGUUUUCAAAAUUUUCUCAUGCCCUUUUACUACAUGGUUUCCAACAGUCUAAAUCUAAUUACUCUUUGUUCACAAAAGGUUCCGGAAGUAGCUUUGUUGCUUUGCUAGUCUACGUCGAUGAUAUAGUCAUCACCGGAUCAGAUUUACAGGUUAUUAACAACUUGAAGACAUUUCUACACAGCCAAUUUAAGCUCAAAGAUCUUGGCAAACUUAAAUAUUUUCUUGGUUUGGAUAUUGCUCGUUCCCAGCAAGGUAUUGUCCUCUCUCAAAGGUACUAUGCCCUUCAAUUACUUGAAGUUAUCGAAUUUUUUGCCUGCAAGCCUGCUACCCUACCAAUGGAUCCGAAGGUUCGACUAAACUCAUUUGAGGGGGAGCUGCUGGAAGGUGUCUCUUUAUAUAGGCGACUGACCUCCUAUACCUAACCAUUUCAACACCGAACAUCACAUUCGCAGUUCACAAACUCAGUCAAUUUGUUUCUCAACCGCAAAAGCCUCACUUAAAUGCUGCUCAUCAUUUGCUACGAUACAUUAAGGCUACUCCAGGACAAGGCCUCUUAUUCUCAGCUGAUUCAACAUUACAGUUACGUGCCUUUGCCAAUGCAGAUUGGGGAUCAUGCUUAGAUUCUAGAAAAUCGGUUACUGGAUUUUGUGUUUUCCUUGGGGAUUCCAUGGUGUUAUGGAAGGCUAAGAAACAAAGUACAGUCUCCAAAUCAUCUGCUGAAGCCAAAUAUCGUGCAUUGGCAUCAACAACCAGUGAACUUGUACGGAUACAUCAAUUGCUUCUUGACUUGCAUAUAAGUCCUGAAGGUUCGGCCUUGAUCUUUUGUGAUAACCAAGCAACAGUGCAUAUUGCCACCAAUCCCAUCUUUCAUGAACGGACCAAACACAUAGAGAUAGAUUGCCAUUUUGUACAAAAUAAAGUCAAUGAAGUAUUCAUCAAGUUACUUCCGAUUCGAACAAAUCAUCAACUUGCUGACAUCUUUACAAAACCUUUGCCAGCAGCUAUGCUCUCUCAUUUACUAUCCAAAAUGGCUGUAAUUAAUCUUCACAGUCCAUCUUGAGGGGAGUAUUAAGAUCAGUGGAAGCACUUGGCGGCAAACAUUAGUUUAGUUAGUUGAAAUCAGUUGCAGUUAGUUGUUAAUUAUAGCUAGUUUUUCCACUUUCCCGCCUCUCUUUUGGAUUGCUAUUUAUAGCACAUGUAUAUCUCAUUUCGAACUUGAAUAAGAAAAUUCAUUUUUCCAAAUCCUCAACACCCCCCCCCCCUUUGCACCAAUUCAUGGAAAAGAAGUCACGUGAGGGAGAGGGGGAAUGAAUUCCAUGGAAAAUUCUCCUAAUCAAACAACGAAAAAUGUGGAAAAUGAAAAAAAAAAAAAUCCAUAUCAAAUAGGGCCUUAGUAAUUAAGCAAUGAAUUGGGUCCACGAGCUCAAGAAAAUUUAUAAUGGAUUAUGAUAUCGGCGAAUAUGACUAAGAUGCAUGAAGCAUACCCCUCAUAAGUUUGUAUUAUGUUUUAUUUUCAUUAACAAUAGCAAUGGCGCUAUUUCGCACUUUGUUGUUGGUAGUGUUUUUCUCAUGUUAAUUCAAGCCUCUGACUCUAGAAAUCAAGUGAAUUCAUGAAUUCGUCGUGUUUUCUAUUUUCUUUCAAAAUUCCUUCUACUUUUCUGCCCUUAGUAUAAAGUUUUCUCUAGAAUACCCAAGGAAAAGAUAAAAGGAUAAGAAAAUAGAAUAAUAUUUUACAAUGAAUUAGUCCAAAGAUUACACUUAAAUGCUACUCAUAAAUAAUAUGCAAAUUAGUCCCACGACUGCCACCAAAAUAACGUAUAACAAGGCAACCACUUGACGUUGUAAAGUAACAAUUAUACUUAAUUUUUCAUUUAUAAUACCCAUUUAAUUAAUGUAGUCUUCAACUUAGAACCUCAAGUCUCCCUGACAUUUUAUUUUAGUAUUCCUAUACAGAGCAGAAAUCUUAAAAAUAAAACAGAAAUCUCAAGUUAUAUAUAUAAAGAUCAUGGCAUAAAAACCCGCAGCUGUGGAGAGAGCAUUGGCAUUUUUUUAUGGUUGAAUGCAUGGUGACGGCUAUUGGGGAAAUCAGGUCAAUAUUAAAUAUGAUAUCUAGCAAUAAUGCUGGGAAAUAACAAUUUCGUCUUUAUUGUGACAAAUACUUUUUAUAAAAAAACAUUGCAUGGUAAAUAAAUAAAUAACAAAAAUAAAAAUACAUACGGAAUACAUAAAUAAUUUUCAUUGCAAGGUUUUUUGUUCUUUUCUUAUAGAAGUUUUAUAGCAAAUAUUAAUAGUUCUUAUUGACGGAAUUCACGAGCGUCUACUUUCCAUCGCUAUUCGCUAGUGAUUUUUUAUAGUGACAUUUUAUAUUAAUAAUCAAGUUAAACAUAAUAUAAAAUUAGAAAGUGACUUGGCUUGACCUUCACCUAUAUGUGCAAUAAAAUUAAGCUAACGGCAUUGCUAUUGCUUUUAUUUCGAGUGGUGUUGUCUACUAUGAAUGAUAAGGAACCGCAUUCUAAACUAUUCCCCUGUUUGGUGGUAAUUUUUCAUCUCAAAAAAAUGAAAAUUUUGAUCGUUAUUUCAUUAUUUCAAUCGCUAUUUUUUUACUUCUUUAUUUAGAGGUGGGAUCCACUUUCCUCUCUAAUGAUCAAAUAAUCAAUUCUCAUAAUCACUAUUGAACAGAUCCUAUGACUUUAACAACUUGCUUAGACAUUUAAGAUCUUCUACCUAAAUAUGAGUCAGAAUAAAACUAAACUUUUUUUUCUAUGAUGGGGGAAUCCACAGCUGCUACCCUUCGGGUGCGUAUUAAGUAAAUUCUCGGGCUGACGCAAUAGCCUGUAAACUACGCCAGUCAAAUAAACUGCACUAGGCAAACUCUGUGCAACAAGCUCGACCGAGAAAAUGUUGGUAGGGAAAAUCGAACUCAUGACCAAAGGUCUCCGCGCUCACCUUCUCCAUCAACUCGGCUACCCCAUGUGGGGCAGAUUCAAACUAUUUAAAAAAAAAAUGUUGAACCCAACCAUGAGGGCCCCACUGCCCCAUCGUUAGAGUUUUGUGAGAGAGGUAAAUUGCGAGAUGUGUCCCAACAGGUUAGGAAACAAGAACUGCUUAUACACUGUGCCUACAAGGAGUCAAAUUCCUUGUCUCAGGAAUCGAACCCCCACACUUUAACUACAUGUGGUUAAACAUUCAAGCAUCUAUUUUGCAAACUUUUUUAAUCAAUUUAUAAAAAGUCAAAUAUAUAAAUGAUAAACUGUACGUUUCAAUGGACCUACAAAUAAUAUUCACUUAUUUACUAUUUCUUUCUAUUUAUUUACAAAUUAUACUGUUUAUAAAUUCUUUUAAAACCCUGGCCAUUUGUAAAUAUUUCUAGUUAGAAGGUCAAAUAUUUGCAAUAAACCAACCCACAUUAAUGGUUUCAAAAUAUUUCUACUCAGUAGUUUCAGUUUCCAAUAUUAAAGCAUAAUUACUAAUUUAAUUGUCAAAACUGCCAUAGUUUAACCAAUGUGGAAAAAUUUAUCACCUUGUCAACGUAAAAUUUAAAGACAAUAAAUGCAAUAAAAUUCUUAAACGAAGGUAGAAAUUAAAUAGCAAAGAAGAAAACACAGUUUCAAAAACAUAUAAAUUUCUCACCUCUUGUUUAAUCCAUUUAAAUCGAAAAUGCCUAACACCAGAACCAUGCAAGCAAUUGCCCUUAUAUUUGUGUCCAUUUCAAUGAUGGCUGCACCAAACUUUGCACAGCAACAAAAUGUAAGUGAACCAUAUAUUCCCGGUGCCGGUUUGAUUCAUUUUUUGCAAUGCUUUCACUCGGUUUUAACCAUCCCGAGGUGUCCCAAGGAACAGAUAAUAUCCAUGUUGAACCUUAAAUUCGAAUUACUUGGUCCAGAAUGUUGUGAAGCACUCUUGAAUGUUGAUUACAGCUGUUGGCCUAAGGUGUUGCCUGCGAAUCCCUUUUUUCCAACGAUCAUCAAGAACUAUUGUUUGUCGACACUAGAUUGAGAAGUGUUACAGGUUUACAGCGUCAUAGCUGAGAUGAAUUUCAAGAAACUUCAAAAUAAGGUGGUUAAAUUUGAGGAAACGCAGCUUCAUUUUUUUUUUCUUUUGUUUUUUUCUCUUUUUUGGUUCCCAGAGAUUGCAAGAAAAAAUUUCUCGAAAUCAGAAGUAAUGCCAGUUUCUUCUCUGUUCUUACCGUAUGAAAGAAUAAAUUAGGUUAUUUUCAGC
rnacentral:lncRNA from 1 species